UAAUACGUAGGGUGCGAGCGUUAAUCGGAAUUACUGGGCGUAAAGCGUGCGCAGGCGGCGACAUAAGACAGAUGUGAAAUCCCCGGGCUCAACCUGGGAACGGCGUUUGUGACUGUGUGGCUAGAGUGUAGCAGAGGGGGGUGGAAUUCCACGUGUAGCAGUGAAAUGCGUAGAGAUGUGGAGGAACACCGAUGGCGAAGGCAGCCCCCUGGGUUAACACUGACGCUCAUGCACGAAAGCGUGGGGAGCAAACAGGAUUAGAUACCCUGGUAGUCCACGCCCUAAACGAUGCCAACUAGGUGUUGGGGGAGGAGACUUCCUUAGUACCGUAGCUAACGCGUGAAGUUGGCCGCCUGGGGAGUACGGUCGCAAGAUUAAAACUUAAAGGAAUUGACGG
rnacentral:rRNA from 1 species